GCCUAACACAUGCAAGUCGAACGCCUCGCAAGGGGAGUGGCAGACGGGUGAGUAACACGUGGGAACGUACCCUUCGGUUCGGAAUAACUCAGGGAAACUUGUGCUAAUACCGGAUACGAUCGCGAGAUGAAAGAUUUAUCGCCGAAGGAUCGGCCCGCGUCUGAUUAGCUAGUUGGUGAGGUAAUGGCUCACCAAGGCGACGAUCGGUAGCUGGUCUGAGAGGAUGAUC
rnacentral:rRNA from 1 species